GUAGGAGGCGAGCGUUAUCCGGAUUUACUGGGCGUAAAGAGGGCGUAGGCGGUUCUUCAAGUCGGAUGUAAAAUCUCCCGGCUUAACUGGGAGGGACCAUUCGAUACUGUCGGGCUAGAGGGCAGCAGAGGGAGGUAGAAUUCCCGGUGUAGUGGUGAUAUGCGUAGAUAUCGGGAGGAAUACCAGUGGCGAAGGCGGCCUCCUGGGCUGUUUCUGACGUUGAGGCCCAGAAGCGUGGGGAGCAAACAGGAUUAGAUACCCUGGUAGUCCACGCUGUAAACUAUGGACACUAGGUAUAGGGAGUAUCGACCCCUCUCUGUGCCGAAGCUAACGCAUUAAGUGUCCCGCCUGGGGACUACGGCCGCAAGGCUA
rnacentral:rRNA from 1 species